rnacentral:rRNA from 1 species
GCUCGAGCGGCGAACGGGUGAGUAACACGUGAGUAACCUGCCCUUGACUUUGGGAUAACUUCAGGAAACUGGGGCUAAUACCGGAUAGGAGCUCCUGCUGCAUGGUGGGGGUUGGAAAGUUUCGGCGGUUGGGGAUGGACUCGCGGCUUAUCAGCUUGUUGGUGGGGUAGUGGCUUACCAAGGCUUUGACGGGUAGCCGGCCUGAGAGGGUGACCGGCCACAUUGGGACUGAGAUACGGCCCAG